rnacentral:rRNA from 1 species
UACGUAGGUGGCAAGCGUUGUCCGGAUUUACUGGGCGUAAAGAGCGCGCAGGCGGUCGUGUAAGUCGCGUGUGAAAGCCCCCGGCUCAACUGGGGAGGGUCACGCGAUACUGCUCGACUCGAAGGCAGGAGAGGGAAGUGGAAUUCCCGGUGUAGUGGUGAAAUGCGCAGAUAUCGGGAGGAACACCGGUGGCGAAGGCGGUUCUCUGGGCCUGUACUGACGCUGAGGAGCGAAAGCGUGGGGAGCGAACGGG